AGUCACGUGGUCUAAUGGUUAUGAUUUCUCGUUCACACCGAGAAGGUUCCCGGUUCGAUCCCGGGCGUGACUA